GCACCUAUUCUGAAGAAUUUUCCUCAUACAUGGGCACACUUGCUAAGACCCCAACCCUAUUGCCACUAUCCUAUAAGGAUUGGAGAAAGGUUCCAAUCCAUCACAAAGAAGAUGCAUGGAACAAAAUAAAGGAAAAGUUUAUUAUAGCUGAGGAUGGCCAACGUAUUGCUUUUAUGAGGAUAGGCCACAUGUGGAAAGAGUUCAAGGGGUGUCUGAGGAGAGAGACAAAGAAAAUGUAUCCUGAUUUGUAUGAAGCUUCUCGCCCUACUGAUCCUAUAGAGAUUCCAAUUGAUCAAUGGGAGUAUCUCAUAAGGAUGUGGACAUCUAUGGAGUGGCGGACUAAAUCUAACAAAAAUAAAGAGCAGAAAACCACAAACGAUGUCCCAUACAGCUGGCCGGACGACCUUUGCACAGGUUAAACACAAUCUA